rnacentral:rRNA from 1 species
AUUGAACGCUGGCGGCAGGCCUAACACAUGCAAGUCGAACGAGUGGCGGACGGGUGAGUAAUGUCUGGGAAACUGCCCGAUGGAGGGGGAUAACGACUGGAAACGGUAGCUAAUACCGCAUACCAUCAGAUGUGCCCAGAUGGGGUUAGCUUGUAGGUGGGGUAACGGCUCACCUAGGCGACGAUCCCUAGCUGGUCUGAGAGGAUGACCAGCCACACGGGAACUGAGACACGGUCCUGACUACUACGGGAGGCAGCAGUGGGGAAUAUUGCACAAUGGGCGCAAGCCUGAUGCAGCCCUGCCGCGUGUAUCAAGACGGCCUGCGGGUUGUAAAGUACUUUCAGCGGGGAGGCGUUACCCGCAGAAGAAGCACCGGCUAACUCCGUGCCAGCAGCCGCGGUAAUUC